AGGAUGAACGCUGGCGGCGUGCCUAACACAUGCAAGUCGAACGUCCUGUCUCGCAAGAGGCAGGGAGUGGCGGACGGGUGAGUACCACGUGGGUCAUCUACCGUGAGGUGAGGAAUACCGGCGAGAAAUCGCCGACAAGACCGCAUAGGCUCGAUGCAAGUCGAGCAAAGCUCUCUCGAGAGAGGGAGCGCCACACGAGGAGCCUGCGCCCGAUUAGCUAGCUGGUGGAGUAAUGGUUCACCAGGGCGACGAUCGGUAGCUGGUCUGAGAGGACGAUCAGCCACACUGGGAUUGAGAACGGCCCAGACUCCUACGGGGGGCAGCAGUGAGGAAUUUUCGUCAAUGGGGGCAACCCUGAACGAGCAACGCCGCGUGCAGGAAGAAGGUUUUCGGAUCGUAAACUGCUUUCUCGGGAAGAGAACGGACGGUACCCGAGGAAUCAGCCCCGGCUAACUACGCGCCAGCAGCCGCGGU
rnacentral:rRNA from 1 species